CUCCGCAAUGCGCGAAAGCGUGACGGGGCUACCCCGAGUGUCGUCCGCUGAGGAUGGCUUUUCUCUGGUGUAAUGAGCCGGAGGAAUAAGGGGAGGGCAAGCCUGGUGUCAGCCGCCGCGGUAAUACCAGCUCCCCGAGUGGUGGGGACGAUUAUUGGGCCUAAAGCGUCCGUAGCUGGCUCGGCAAGUCUUCCGUUAAAUCCAACGAUCCAAUCGUUGGGCUCGCGGGAGAUACUGCAGAGCUAGGGGGCAGGAGAAGCCGACGGUACUCAUGGGGUAGGGGUAAAAUCCUUUAAUGCCAUGAGGACCACCAGUGGCGAAGGCUGUCGGCUAGAAUGCGCCCGACGGUGAGGGACGAAAGCUGGGGGAGCGAUCCGGAUUAGAUACCCGGGUAGUCCCAGCUGUAAACGAUGCAGGCUAGGUGUUAGCGUGACUACGGGUCACKCUAGUGCCGCAGGGAAGCCGUUAAGCCUGCCGCCUGGGAAGUACGGUCGCAAGACUGAAACUUAAAGGAAUUGCGGGGGGGAGCAAC
rnacentral:rRNA from 1 species